rnacentral:rRNA from 1 species
GACGAACGCUGGCGGCGUGCCUAAUACAUGCAAGUAGAACGCUGAAGAGAGGAGCUUACUCUUCUUGGAUGAGUUGCGAACGGGUGAGUAACGCGUAGGUAACCUGCCUGGUAGCGGGGGAUACCUAUUGGAAACGAUAGCUAAUACCGCAUAACAUUGGAUGACACAUGUCAUUUAUUUGAAAGGGGCAAUUGCUCAACUACAAAAGGGACCUGCGUUGUAUUAGCUAGGAGGUGAGGUAAUGGCUUACCAAGGCGCGGUGACAUAGCCGACCUGCGAGGGUGAGCGGCCACACUGGGACGGAGACACGGCCCAGACUCCUACGGGAGGCAGCCGUAGGGAAUCUUCGGCAAUGGGAGCAACCCUGACCGAGCAACGCCGCGGGAGUGCAGAAGGUAUUCGGAUCGUAAAGCUCUGUUGUAAGUCAAGAACGGGUGUGAGAGUGGAAAGUUCACACUGUGACGGUAGCUGACCAGAAAGGGACGGCUAACUACGUG